rnacentral:misc_RNA from 1 species
GCUUUGCUCCAAUGCAGGUUACUAACUUCAGUUAUUUCCUUGAGUUCUGUAAAUUAUUUUAAGACAUCAGAUUUUUGUCUGGUACUGUGGCUUGCAUUUGGUAUUUAAUUAAAAGCAUAUGGAAUUUAAAACUUUCACAAAGAAAUAAUAACGGCCAACUCUUAAUCUCCUCUCUAAAUGCUGUUGUUAUCACUUUUGUGUAUAUAUAUAUAUAUAAAAGAUGUCAAAAAAGAAGUAUAAGAAAUUCAAAUUGCAAAAUAUUAAUAUACCUUGAAAAGGAGAAGAAGUUGUUU